CCGGGUUGCGGACAGUGUCUGGUGGGUAGUUUGACUGGGGCGGUCUCCUCCUAAAGAGUAACGGAGGAGCACGAAGGUUGGCUAAUCCUGGUCGGACAUCAGGAGGUUAGUGCAAUGGCAUAAGCCAGCUUGACUGCGAGCGUGACGGCGCGAGCAGGUGCGAAAGCAGGUCAUAGUGAUCCGGUGGUUCUGAAUGGAAGGGCCAUCGCUCAACGGAUAAAAGGUACUCCGGGGAUAACAGGCUGAUACCGCCCAAGAGUUCAUAUCGACGGCGGUGUUUGGCACCUCGAUGUCGGCUCAUCACAUCCUGGGGCUGAAGUAGGUCCCAAGGGUAUGGCUGUUCGCCAUUUAAAGUGGUACGCGAGCUGGGUUUAGAACGUCGUGAGACAGUUCGGUCCCUAUCUGCCGUGGGCGCUGGAGAACUGAGGGGGGCUGCUCCUAGUACGAGAGGACCGGAGUGGACGCAUCACUGGUGUUCGGGUUGUCAUGCCAAUGGCACUGCCCGGUAGCUAAAUGCGGAAGAGAUAAGUGCUGAAAGCAUCUAAGCACGAAACUUGCCCCGAGAUGAGUUCUCCCUGACCCUUUAAGGGUCCUGAAGGAACGUUGAAGACGACGACGUUGAUAGGCCGGGUGUGUAAGCGCAGCGAUGCGUUGAGCUAACCGGUACUAAUGAACCGUGAGGCUUAACCUUACAACGCCGAAGCUGUU
rnacentral:rRNA from 1 species